GUGGAAUCCCAGGGCUCAACCCUGGACGUGCUUUGGAUACUGCCUGUCUUGAGUUCGUGAGAGGAAAGUGGAAUUCAGGGUGUAGCGGUGAAAUGCUUAGAUAUCCUGAGGAACACCAGUGGCGAAAGCGACUUUCUGGCACGAAACUGACGCUGAGGCUCGAAAGCAUGGGUAGCGAACGGGAUUAGAUACCCCGGUAGUCCAUGCCGUAAACGUUGUGUACUAGGUGCAGGAGGUAUCGACCCCUUCUGUGCCGAAGCUAACGCAUUAAGUACACCGCCUGGGGAGUACGCGCGCAAGCGUGAAACUCAAAGGAAUUGACGGGGGCCCGCACAAGCGGUGGAGCAUGUGGUUUAAUUCGAGGCAACGCGAAGAACCUUACCCAGGCUUGACAUCCCGUGACAACCUGUGAAAGCAGGCCUUCCCUUCGGGGACACC
rnacentral:rRNA from 1 species